AUGGAUUAGAGGAGAGACCUGGGGACACUCUGCUCAGCUGUGGGGCUACAGGAAACAAGGACCCAGUGACCAUCCCCACCAUGGCCUGGUCCCCUCUCCUCCUCACCCUGCUGGCUCAUUGUACAGGGUCCUGGGCCCAGUCUGUGCUGACUCAGCUGUCCUCCAUGUCUGGAUCCCCGGGCCAGACGGUCACCAUCACCUGCACAGGAAGCAGCAGCAACAUCGGGGGUGGUUAUUAUUUGAGCUGGUACCAACAACUCCCAGGAACGGCACCCAAACUUCUGAUCUACAAUGCUAACAAUCGAGCCUCAGGGGUCCCCAACCGCUUCUCUGGCUCCAAGACUGGCAGCUUGGCCUCCCUGACCAUCACUGGGCUCCAGGCUGAGGAUGAGGCUGAUUACUACUGUGGAUGUUAUGACAGCAGCCUCAGUACUGGCACAGUGCUCCAGGCCGGCAGGGAAGUGAGACAAAAACCUACUGUUCCCUAGCCAUGGGGCUCCCUGGGCAGCCCCCACUGCUCAGCCAACACAGCUGCAUCCUUUCUUUGUUUUUCUUGAACAUGGAGUCUUAAAUCCACAUGAAGUUACUUUGUCUAGAGCAUGUGUCCUCACCUCUCAAAUUCUGCCCCUAAGCCCAGUCCUUGUCAGCAGA